rnacentral:rRNA from 1 species
GAUGAACGCUAGCGGCAGGCCUAAUACAUGCAAGUCGAGGGGUAGAGAAGAGCUUGCUUUUCUUGAGACCGGCGCACGGGUGCGUAACGCGUAUGCAACCUACCUUUAUCAGGGGGAUAGCCUCUCGAAAGAGAGAUUAACACCGCAUAAAAACACAGUACGGCAUCGUACGAUGAUCAAAUAUUUAUAGGAUAGAGAUGGGCAUGCGUGUCAUUAGUUAGUUGGCGGGGUAACGGCCCACCAAGACCACGAUGACUAGGGGAUCUGAGAGGAUGACCCCCCACACUGGUACUGAGACACGGACCAGACUCCUACGGGAGGCAGCAGUAAGGAAUAUUGGUCAAUGGAGGCAACUCUGAACCAGCCAUGCCGCGUGCAGGAAAACGGCCCUCUGGGUUGUAAACUGCUUUUAUUCGGGAAUAAACCUGCUUACGUGUAAGUAGCUGAAUGUACCGAAGGAAUAAGGAUCGGCUAACCCCGUGCCAGCCGCCGCCGUAAGAC